ACAUGCAAGUCGAGGGGAACGACAUCGAAAGCUUGCUUUUGAUGGGCGUCGACCGGCGCACGGGUGAGUAACGCGUAUCCAACCUGCCCACCACUUGGGGAUAACCUUGCGAAAGUAAGACUAAUACCCAAUGACGCCUCUAGAAGACAUCUGAAAGAGAUUAAAGAUUUAUCGGUGAUGGAUGGGGAUGCGUCUGAUUAGCUUGUUGGCGGGGUAACGGCCCACCAAGGCGACGAUCAGUAGGGGUUCUGAGAGGAAGGUCCCCCACAUUGGAACUGAGACACGGUCCAAACUCCUACGGGAGGCAGCAGUGAGGAAUAUUGGUCAAUGGACGAGAGUCUGAACCAGCCAAGUAGCGUGCAGGAAGACGGCCCUAUGGGUUGUAAACUGCUUUUAUAAGGGAAUAAAGUGAGAGUCGUGACUCUUUUUGCAUGUACCUUAUGAAUAAGGACCGGCUAAUUCCGUGCCAGCAGCCGCGGUAAUACGGAAGGUCCGGGCGUUAUCCGGAUUUAUUGGGUUUAAAGGGAGCGUAGGCCGGAGAUUAAGCGUGUUGUGAAAUGUAGAUGCUCAACAUCUGAACUGCAGCGCGAACUGGUUUCCUUGAGUACGCACAAAGUGGGCGGAAUUCGUGGUGUAGCGGUGAAAUGCUUAGAUAUCACGAAGAACUCCGAUUGCGAAGGCAGCUCACUGGAGCGCAACUGACGCUGAAGCUCGAAAGUGCGGGUAUCGAACAGGAUUAGAUACCCUGGUAGUCCGCACGGUAAACGAUGGAUGCCCGCUGUUGGUCUGAAUAGGUCAGCGGCCAAGCGAAAGCAUUAAGCAUCCCACCUGGGGAGUACGCCGGCAACGGUGAAACUCAAAGGAAUUGACGGGGGCCCGCACAAGCGGAGGAACAUGUGGUUUAAUU
rnacentral:rRNA from 1 species